UGUGUCUCAGGAUCAGGUCGAGGAUAAUGACCAGGAGAUCCGCCGCUGCCAUGGCCCCCAGGGGCUUCCUCGUGUUACUGACAGCAAGAUCACCUGAGAGGGACAAACACAGGCACAGACCAAGUUACAAGGAUGUGUCUCAUAACUUCGGAAACACACCUGUCCAUGGACCAUCACAUGGAACACACUGGGAAGUGAACAACAGCCUGACACACACCAUUUCACUGUUUCUGAGCGACACAAUGCCAGCAAUCGAUAUACUACAGAGCCAAAACCCGAGGCCAGGGAAAGAUACAGAGGGACAGAGAGUCUCACAUUAAAGACAGAAACAGACAGUUAAUUAAUUGAAAAGAUGUUGUGAAAAUAUGGGGAAAAAGACAUGGCCGUGGGACUAACUCGAGCAGUGAGAUCUUCGAAAGCAAAAUUACAAGAAUGAGAACAUUGAAUAAAGGCAUUGUCAGAUCAACGGAAA